rnacentral:lncRNA from 1 species
UAUGGGUAUCCAUCGAGAUCAAUCUCAAACUGAUCUCUCCUCAUAGAAGACUCUUCUUUUCAAAAAGAAUCUUAGUCUUGAACACUUUGAUCAAUACCUUGAUCUAGAUUGUGAGAUCAACUCCUUGAUCAUCAGCUUUCUUCUUCUUCUCCUCGAUCUUCACUCUUGAAGUCACAAAGCACUGCCUCUUGGCAUGUGAA